GCGAAGGUGGCGGAAUUGGUAGACGCGCUAGCUUCAGGUGUUAGUGUUCUUACGGAGGUGGGGGUUCAAGUCCCCCCCCUCGCACCA
rnacentral:tRNA from 2 species